UGGAAAUGUAACUACAUAGGCGGGGAAUCCAACGGUUGAGAUUACUUCUUUUUUCACUUGUGAGGAUCCAACGGUCCAACGGUUGAGAUUGGUUCAGAAGAGGAAGCAAGUGAAGCGGUGAAAGGAGAAGAAAAAUAAUAAUAGUGGGGAAGUUGGAAGCAUAGAAUAGAAGUAGAAGAAGGAAAAGAAAAGGGAAAGAGAGAAAGAAACAAACAAGUCCUUCGGAUUUUAUUUGGCCAUGUGUUACGGUCAGCAGCGAUCGUUCUCCAGAGACGAAAACCUAACCCCUUCUCGGACCCUUCGAUCGCCCACCGAUAACGCCCUCGUCGUCCAGAAUCUACGGGAUCGUCUUGCCGAGACCGAGGCGCGCCUGGCAAGGGCCAGGGCUCGAGAGGCCGAGCUGAGUCGCUGCCUUAACGAGAUGAAGCGCUUCGUCUCCGUCAUGGAGAUCCUUGAGACCUACCUCAAGCGACGCUUCCGAGAGCAACAAGAUGACGUCGUUCGCUUAUUCUCUCCGCCAUUGCCGCAUUCUUGAAAUUGCAUUUCUCUCCUCGGUGAUUUCCUUACUAAACCUCGUUCACAUCAUAAAUAUAUUUUCUUUUUCUAAUGCCAUUUUGAUUUUUUUAAUUUGUUUAUUUAUAUUCACUCUCUAGGGGUCUUUUUUUUUUGGUUUUCGACAUAAGUUGUGCUUGAUUUGAUUAUAUUACUUUGGUGAUUCGGUUUGAACAUAAUUUUAUAUGGUUUAGUUCUAUUCUAUUGUGAAUUGAUCAUGGAGUCAUAUAUUCUUGACAAGAAGUGUGCAAUUUUAUGGGGAAAUUGGUUUCUGAAAUGGUUUUGAGAUGUGGAUUAAUCCAGCCUUGGUAUGAAAGUGAUAAAAAUAAAAUAAAAUAAAUAAAAAGUGAGUAUUAAUUCAGUGUAAAGCCGUGGAUUACUUUGUAGGGAAGGAGCAUUUUGGAAGUUUUAAUUAUAUUGGCUAAAUCAACAAUGGUGUAGCUUGGUGGGUUUCUGAUAAUGGGGAGUUGGGUUCCUAUAAAAAUAGGAAGGGUUACAUUUGAAAGAAUAAGAUGUUGAAAAACUUGCAUUUUUGUAAGGUUAGUGUUGAAGGGAUAAGAUGUUGAAAACUUUCAUUUGGGUACUUAUGUUUAAUGUUUAUGUACUGUAAUUGCAUUACUUUUCCUAGAUAUGCAUAGUAUUAAACCUGUAGGCUUCAGCAGCAGGAAUAAUGGAAGGCGAUGGACAGUGGAUUGUGUUUCUAGAAUAAUUAUUGAAUUUUAAGAGAUGUUUCCAGAAUUAAGGUGAGUCGCAAUCUUGUUGCCAUGGACUUAGGAAUACUUUUAGAUGAGUUUCUAUUAUGUUGCAGUAGGAGAACCAUAAUUGAAAUGUAUUAGAGCAUUGAAGGUAAAUGAUCUAAGUGGAUUCUGCUGCAAAAAUGAUAAAUAAAGCAGUGGGAGUCUUAUAUGUGAUCAUUCAUUCAUUUGCUUGAGCGUCUUGUGCUAGUGUUUGUAUGCCAUGAAUGAAUAUUCAGGAUCACCCAAAUUCGGUAGGGGUUAUGCUUUAAGAUGAUUAAUGGCACAAAAAGAGAACUACGUGCACUUAGCUUGAUGUAGAUAAGGGAAAUAUUUGAAGGUGAGUCUUAUAAAGACCUUUUAUAUGAAAAUUCUAAAUCUUUUAUUAAUUUCAUUGGUUUAGAGUCUUAAUACUAUUUUCAUGUAAAUGAGUGAUUUCUUGGUGUUCUUUCUAUCCACAUUGAGUUCUUAAAUUUGUUCUUUGGCUACAUCACAUGAAAAAUAUAUUAACUGUAAAGUUUUUAAGAGGACGAUACUUGGUUACCUGUAUCAGUUGACACGCAUUUUGCUCUUUCAUAAAAUUCAAUAGAGUAGCUCAAACAGUUAGCCCUAUGGUUUGCUCCGGCAAGGUUUGAGGUUUGAUUAUCUCUUGAGUGCCUGUAUAGGAGUUGCUACACUUUUCUGGUUAGGCAAGGAGCUAGUUUACAAAAACUAUGACUAAUGUGGGGUAUAUACACCAGCUAAAUAAAUUUAUGACAUUGGCUUUGUUCAAAUAGUUCAGCAUGACCUUUUCCUUGUUAUGACCAGGAAUGAUUCAUAACCGGAGCCGGAAAACAUAUUGAAUGUUGUAAAUUUACAGCAACAAUGAAAGAGAGAGCUCAAUGAAGUGCCACUUAAUGUUCUGAGGGGCUUCAAAUAUAAAAUUUCCCCACCUUUUGUUAAUCAUCACCGGUCAUGAAUAUUAGAUUUUAUUUGCUUCAAAAUAUUGGAGAACUCCAAAUCAUUCCAAAAGUUCAUAUAUGUACAUACAUUCUUAAUGACUAUCAAAUUGAAUAUAUCAUAUUAAGUACA